rnacentral:lncRNA from 1 species
AGGUGGAGUGUUUUUGUUUGUGUCUCUUGUCUUUAUAGGAACUUUCUGAUCAUCCAGGACAAAGGUUUUAUGUAAAUUAGGUCAAAUGUUUUGAGCAUCCCAAAUGCUUUAGUAUUAAUAUAUUAUUUGUCAAUAAAAAAAAAGACAUGAAUUAUUACUUCAUGCAUGGAAAAAAUAUAAUUCUAAUGUGCUAUAUCAAGGUUUCUACGGGUUGUGAUUUAAGGUAAUCA